UACUGCUUCUUAUAAUAUUCUUAAUUCAACAUCGAGGUCGCAAAAUUUAAUAUAGAUAUGAACUCCCCAUCAAAAUUACGCUGUUAUCCCUAAGGUAACUUAAUCUUAUUAUCCUCUAAUGGGAUCAAAAAAUACAUUUAUAAAUGAUGUAAAAAACUAAAGUUAAAUAUUUAACUACCACCCCAGCAAAAAAUAAAAUUAGUAUUAUAAAAUAUUAUAAAUAAAAUUUAGUAAUAUAAAUUUAUAUAAAGUUCUAUAGGGUCUUAUCGUCCCAAUAACCUACUAAAGCAUUUUAACUUUAAAUUUAAAUUCUAAUUUUUUAAAAAAUAAAAUAUAUUUCUCAUACAUCCAUUCAUACAAGCUCCCAAUUAAGAAACUAAUUACUAUGCUACCUUUGCACAGUCAAAAUACUGCAGCCAUUUAAUUUUAUAACCAUAGGGCAGAAGAUACUUUUCAUACAACCA
rnacentral:rRNA from 1 species